rnacentral:lncRNA from 1 species
CGUCGCUUUCUAGUGUCUGUGGUGUCGGCGCUGCAGGAUGACGCGAGCCUCUCGCGUCCCUGGUUUUCUCGGUCGCAGCGUUGAGUUAUUGGGUGGAAAGGCAUCACCUUAGAGUCAACCUUCUUUGAAACCACUGUCUCAGAGAAAUCCCUCCAAGACACAGGUAAUUAGAGAGGGUAUGUGAACCAAGGAGCCAAUCAAAUUCUCCCACAUAAGAAUUUGGGACACAGAAGAUGAAGCUGAGGACCACAAGGAUUUAGAUACUGAUGCUAGACAGGGUGUCACUCUGUCGCUCAGGCUAGUGUGAAUUGGUGUGAUCAUAGCUCAUUGCAGCCUCGAACUCCUGGGCUCAAGCAAUCCUCCUGCCUCCGACUUCCCAGCAGCUAGGACUGCAG